rnacentral:rRNA from 1 species
GAGUGGUGCAAGCGUUAUUCGGAUUUAUUGGGYGUAAAGGGUGCGUAGACGGYGYRWYAAGUCUGUUGUUAAAUUCCUCGGCUCAACUGAGGGCAUGCAAUGGAAACUGUCGUGCUAGAGGAUGGAAGAGAGAAGUGGAAUUCUUGGAGUAGCGGUAAAAUGCGUAGAUCUCAAGAGGAACACCAGAUGGCGAAGGCAGCUUCUUGGUCCACUCCUGACGUUGAGGCACGAAAGCGUGGGGAGCAAACAGGAUUAGAUACCCUGGUAGUCCACGCYGUAAACGAUGAUCACUGGACGUUAAGYCUGUUUUACRGRCUUAGUGUCGAAGCUAACGCGUUAAGUGAUYCRCCUGGGRAGUACGGUCGCAAGAUUA